rnacentral:lncRNA from 1 species
UUUAGUAGCUCAUAUAUAUAUAUAUAUAUAUAUAUAUAUAUAUAUAUAUAUAUAUAUAUAUAUAUAUAUGUGUGUGUGUGUGUGUGUGUGUAUCUGAAGUCCAAUGGGGAAAUAAGUAGACCAUCCAAAACUAUUGACCGGAAGUGUAAUAUAAUUAUCCAUAGGUGAAGUGUUAUAACGACACCUCUGACCUUUAUAACAAACUAAACCGUUUGAAAAUCGGUAGAAAACUGAGCAAGUUAUUGUUAUUUAAAAACUACAUGCACCACUACUGCACAACAUUGUGAGUGAGUGAGCUGACCGAGACAAGAUGGCCGCCGGUGCGGACGUGCGACUCCUGGGCAAGGAGGAAGUGAAGGAUAAUCCAAUCAAAACAACCCGCCCUUAGUCAGACUCCGCCCCAUUACGUAGCGAGGGCCACUUUGAGAAGAGGGAAGGGUAGUUUAUCAUCAGAGACAGUCGGACACCUCUCCAACCAGCGUGUACAGUUGCUCUAAAGGUUUCGUCUUUACGCACAAAAUUUCUGUGUGAAAGCGUCGAUGGCUGCAGUCAGAAGCCCCAGAGGACACUUCCUCCUCUUCACUGUGCUGAUAUCCUUUUGCAUCACAGCUUCACUGGCCAAUGUGGAGCUACUGGAAACGAUCAAAGAAAAUCUCAAGAUCUUGGAGGAAAACUUAGAAACAACGAAGGCUUACUUUCAGGAGGAAUUGUUAAAGUACUCGAUUGAGAGGGACAGACUUGCCAAAAAACUGGAUCCGCUGAUGGAAGAGCAGAGAGAGCUGCUGCAGUCGUUACCUGAUUUCCUUCAAGUCCCGUUCAGCAGGCACCUUGACUACCUCCAGUUCUCCGUCGACACAUCCGAGGACCAAAUAGAUGAUGGGAUGGUGAAGUUGCACAGAGAGAUAGUUGCACAAGAGAAGGAACUGGAAUAUCAGAGGAUGCAAAUAAAAUGUUAUGAGGGACAUGUGAUGAAAGUUCAGUUCCAUGCAGCUCACACAGAAUUAUAAUCACAGUCUCUGACCAUGCAUCGUUCUCUCUUCUUUUUUUUUUGUGUUUUUUUCAGUGAAGCAUAAUUUUCCUACAACUAGAUUAGAACUCAUGCAACUUUUUAUAUAUUUACAUUUUGUUAAACUGAGACCUGAAAUGUAUUUGGAUUUCAGACAUGGGCAACUGGCGGCCCUCGGUCUAAAUCUGUGCGGCCAAAAAAAAAUUAGAAGUAACAUGAAGCUCAACAUAAUACACAAAAUAACAGAAAAAUGCACAGAAUGUCAACACAAAUACACGAGGAAACAACAACACAUAAGUCUAUUUUCUAAUGUCAACAUGUUCUCACCUGUUCAUUGAUGAUACCUAUAAAGACUGCUUGUUUAAGGACAGACCUUUGCUCUGAUCAAACGUUAUAGAUGACAUGUCGACACCUGCCUCAGUGUAAACUGUCAGCUUUCUGUAUGCUUGCUGUAUGCUCACCUGUGAACUGUUUUUGUCUCCCUGAUUUUGUAUUAAAUCGAGUAAAUUUGAAACUACAAAGACAAACUCAGUGUUUUAUUGUGACUCCUUGUUUAGUGUAUAUCACCACCCACAAAAUCCAAAAAGCCACAGAUUGGCAAGAAACAAAAAUGCAAACAUAACACACAAGAAAUAACAAAAACACAUAUGAAAAAAAAGUCUCAUUUUUAGAUAUUUUAGGAAGCCAUAAGCUUCACAUAGGAACUAGAUCAGACAUGGACAACUGGCGGAACGGGAACCAGUGGCGGCCCUCGGUCUAAAUCUGUGUGGCCCCCAAGACAAAUCCACCAAUAAUUGUAAUUCAAGAAAUUGAAAGUAAUAUGAAGCCCAACAUAAUAAACAAAAUAACAGAAAACUGCA